CCUGUUUAUCAAAAACAUGUCUAUAUGAAUUAUUUAUAUAGUCUAACCUGCCCACUGAAGUUUAAAGGGCUGCGGUAAUAUGACCGUGCGAAGGUAGCAUAAUCAAUAGUCUUUUAAUUGAAGGCUGGAAUGAAUGGUUGGACAAAAAGUGAACUGUCUUUUUUGAAAUAAUUGAAUUUUACUUUUGAGUGAAAAGGCUUAAAUGAAUUAAGGGGACGAUAAGACCCUAUAAAACUUUACAUAUUGUAUAUAUUUGUUUAAAAAUAAAUGUAUAAAGGAGGUAUAAAAAAAUUUGUUUUAUUGGGGCGAUAAUUAUAAAAAUAAAAAUUGUAAUUUUAAUAAAAUAUAUAUAAAUAGUAUAAUUGAUCCUUUAUUAAGGAUUAUAAGAUUAAGUUACUUUAGGGAUAACAGCGUAAUUCUUUCUGAGAGUUCUUAUCGAUGAAGGUAGUUGCGACCUCGAUGUUGAAUUAAGAUUUUACUAAGGUGUAGAAGUUUUAGUGAUAGGUCUGUUCGACCUUUAAAAUCUUACAUGAUUUGAGUUCAAACCGGUGUGAGCCAGGUUGGUUUCUAUCUAA
rnacentral:rRNA from 1 species